ACAUGCGCAGAUUAUUUGU
rnacentral:piRNA from 1 species